ensembl:lncRNA
UGUGGUGCAGGCAUUGCCAUCCUAAAAGCUGCCAUGUGUAUUUUCCUGAACUUGCAUGUGUCUCCUUAAUUACCACCUGCAAAUCAAUAGGGCCAAAACCAGUGGGGUCAGUCAUCCUCCCUUUCACAUUCCCUCUAGUCGUAUAUUUGUGCAGCUCAAACUAACGUUGAGAUCACUUUUAAAAUGAUUUCCAUCUUUAUUGAAUGGCUUUACUUCAUUCCAUAUGAUUGAAAUGUUGUAUCCAUGACAAGUAAUCAAUUGUGGGUACCCAAAUGUUCUAUUAAGUAUUUUCUAUCCACAACAAAUACAAAUGCAAACCAAGGGGAACCAGACAGUUGUCCCUAUUUUGCAUCUCUUCGUUCCCUGCAUUGAAUGCCCUGGAGAAUCAAACUGGGUCUCCGUUAUUAGAGCGUCAUAGUAGGGGAAAAUGGAAGUCCAACUUCUCUCUUCUUUCUACCUUUCUAAAUGUCCUUAAUGUCUCACUCACUGCUGUCCACUGUCCAUGCUUCAUUUUCCUGUUUCUCCUGUCCGUGGACCAUUUCUUCAGUGGUCACUGCCCACUCCCUUUUGUACAUAAUGUAAGGUUAUUUAUAUUUCAUUCCUGUCUGCUGCCUUAUAUUUUCUUCUCCCUUCACCCUUCUUUUAAUAAAAAAAACAAUGUAUAUUGAACUGUAUCGGGACCAUUUUGAAAUGUAUUAGAUAUUUUGUUUUGGCCAUUUUUAAUUUGGUAAAACUGUCUUAAGCAAAUCCUAUUUUUAAUUUGCCAAUGUUUGUUUCUGGUGUUUUGAUAUUCAACAUUUGAAUAUAUGUAUAUAUAAUUAUAUAUAUAUAUAUAUAAUUAUAUAAUGCCCAAUGGCCUUUUUAAGCAAGAUACUGUUCAAACCUAAUAAAGUGCUUGAGAUUGUAUCACUUGUCUGUAUUUCUUAUCAUUUUAACUUCUAUAAAUAUAAUAUUAGACGCAAACAUGCAUCAGAGAACUCAAAUAUGUAAGUGCAGUGUUUUUGCUCAGUUAAAGUUGGGACAACCUGACGCUCAGUACAGUUCACAUCUUAUUGAAGACAAAUGACACAGUGGUGUAGUAAAGAGUAAAGAGUGUAGAAAAAACAAUUGUUUGUGUUGAUGUGUUGUCCUGUUAAAGGGUUUUUAAUCUGUGGUUAACCCUUCACCCCCUGAUCAAAUAGGAAUGUGCUUCUUGCACCAAUAAAUAACUGAAAUGGGAACAAUUAAGUGUUUGUGUGGAAAUUAAGACCCUGGAAUACAUUUCAGGAAAACAUGUUCACAUCAAGGUAUUGCUAUUGGGUUGUGUAUUAUUCAGUCCGGUGGACUUCUUCUUUGGGAUUUGUCAACAGUAGACCCUGCAACCCUGCUGUGAUUUUUCCAACUAUAGAUCGGGAGAUGGAAAGACAUGCAGUAUAAUUUAUAAAGAAUGUGAUGAAUAAGGCAGCGUGACAUUAUUGAGGAUCAAAAAAACGUUGGUUUCUUUCAUGCAUUAAUAGACUUUUGAGUGACAAAUCCUUUAAUGUCAAGCAUAAUCUGUACAUGAAACUGAAGCAAAUGUAUAAAUCUGUUAAAGGUUUGAAGGGAUUUAAGCUGUAAAAAGAAAGUAAAAGGUGUAAAUUAAACAUUCACCAUCGGCACUAUAAAUAUGGACAAAUGUGGUGGAAACAACAGGAAAGGAAGAGCACUUAGCGAGAGCGCUUACCUGUCUUCUAAAGGUAAGUGCUCUCGCUUCACACCAACUGUCAGUCACGUGUCAUCAUUGGUGCAUCUUGGAGUCAUCACGCUUCCAUAAAAAGUCCCUAUAGUC